UGCCCGCCUCUGGACGCGGGGGGAGCUUGGCUGAUGCAACGUGGCCACGCUUGCAAGGCUCCGAGCUCCCUCGCCUGUUCUCCAGGUGUCACGACGGAACGGACGCGUCCGGAUCGCACCCCGAGGUGCUGGAGCGAACCCAGUGCUGUGGCAGACAGUCCUGAGCCCUAAACUGUGACUUCCAAGGCAACAAACAAGAUUGCUACACCAAGGAGAUAUAAUUUGUGAACUUAAGAAGCCAAGGACUGGGAGGACAGAAAAUGAGAGUGGGCAUGCUGCUGUAAACUGUUUUCCCCCCUGUUGCAUGCUUAGAUGAGCACAUAAGAUACCUCCGCUGCAUGCAAUUAGCUCUGCCGAACCAUGCCUGGGAGCCUUUGCAGGGAGACGGCUGGCACUGCCCGAUAGGCAGGCAGGAGCUGUCCUGUGCCAACGCUGCCCCUUUCCUGAACCCUUUCUCUCCCUGCCCCCACUCCGUGAGCUGGCACACAUUCCUUCCUUUCAUAUCUGACCUUGGCCACCACUACGUCUGUGAAGGCUGGAAUCCUUUUUUGCUUUGGAGAGGAGUCGGCAAGCGUGUGUGCCUGUGUGCGCAUCUCGUAGCAUAUGCAAUUCACGGAGCCUACGGGACACUGUCUCCACCCACCUUCACAUGUGUGAAUCUUUGUAUGCAUAUAGCGUCCAAACUCUUUUAAUUGGCUGUGAUUGAGGGUAGGCACAGACGACGCACGGGCAAAGUGAGAACCCCUCUUUGUAUGAGUGGGUUGUCCGUAUGUUCGUGCAUGAACUGAUCGAGUGAUGUGUGUGAGCUUAGUUCGUGUUUCAGUGCAUCAGUCCCAUAGAGAAUUUUGUAGGCAUGUGCACCUGCGACUGCACAACAGUGUGAGGGCCGAAGUUCUGUGUGCUAAGGGUAAUUGACACACACGAAUGCCCACAUCUGUGAGAGAGGUUUGCUAAUGUGCAAGGAGUGUAUACACUUUUAGCAGUUCACUUUCCGUUUCCCUGGUCCCAUGGUGCACGUGAGCCUGUGCUAGUUGUAGGAGAAGAGU